GUCGAGCGCGGGAAGCCGGCGGACUCCUUCGGGAGGAAACCGGUGGAACGAGCGGCGGACGGGUGAGUAACACGUGGGCAACCUGCCGGACUGAUGGGAAUAACCCCGGGAAACCGGGGCUAAUGCCCAAUACGCCCUGACCUCGCCUGAGGUCAGCGGCAAAGCAGGGAUCUUCGGAUCCUUGCACAGUCCGAUGGGCCCGCGGCGCAUUAGCUAGUUGGAGAGGUAAGGGCUCCCCAAGGCGACGAUGCGUAGCCGACCUGAGAGGGUGAUCGGCCACACUGGGACUGAGACACGGCCCAGACUCCUACGGGAGGCAGCAGUAGGGAAUCAUCCGCAAUGGGCGAAAGCCUGACGGUGCAACGCCGCGUGAGUGAUGAAGGUUUUCGGAUCGUAAAGCUCUGUUGACAGGGAAGAACCCACGCCAGUCGAACAGGCUGGCGUGCUGACGGUACCUGUCCAGAAAGCCCCGGCUAACUACGUGCCAGCAGCCGCGGUAAUACGUAGGGGGCAAGCGUUGUCCGGAAUUAUUGGGCGUAAAGGGCACGCAGGCGGUUUCGUCAGUCCGAUGUGACAGGCCACGGCUCAACCGUGGAAGGCCAUUGGAAACUGCGAAACUUGAGGACAGAAGAGGAGAGUGGAAUUCCACGUGUAGCGGUGAAAUGCGUAGAUAUGUGGAGGAACACCAGUGGCGAAGGCGACUCUCUGGUCUGUACCUGACGCUGAGGUGCGAAAGCAUGGGGAGCAAACAGGAUUAGAUACCCUGGUAGUCCAUGCCGUAAACGCUGAGUGCUAGGUGUUAGGGGUUUCGAUACCCGUAGUGCCGAAGCUAACGCAUUAAGCACUCCGCCUGGGGAGUACGACCGCAAGGUUGAAACUCAAAGGAAUUGACGGGGGCCCGCACAAGCGGUGGAGCAUGUGGUUUAAUUCGACGCAACGCGAAGAACCUUACAGAUCUUGACAUCUUCCGCUACGCCUCGAGAGAGCGUUCCCUUCGGGGACGAAUGACAGGUGGUGCAUGCUGUCGUCAGCUCGUGUCUGAGAUGUUGGAUAGUCCGCACGACGCACCCUAUCUUAGUUGCAGCAUCAGUGGCCUUCUAGUGACUGCAGUACAACGAGAGUGGGAUGAGUCAAUCUCAUGCCUUAGAUGGGCUCAACGUCCAUGAUGUAACGUACGUACCUGCAGAGUACCAAUCGGAAAGGCACUCUCAG
rnacentral:rRNA from 1 species